rnacentral:tRNA from 6 species
GGUUUUAUAUUCAAAUAUGAUAUUAGAAUGCAAUUCUAAAGGUGUAUUUUUAAUACUAAGACUU